rnacentral:rRNA from 1 species
GCCGUAAACAUUGAUAGGUUAAUACAACCCCUAUCCGCCCGGGAACUACAAGCACAAGCUUGAAACCCAAAGGACUUGGCGGUGCUUUAGAUCCUCCUAGAGGAGCCUGUUCUAGAACCGAUAACCCCCGUUCAACCUCACCUUUCCUUGUUUUUCCCGCCUAUAUACCGCCGUCGUCAGCCCACCCCGUGAGGGCUUAAAAGUAGGCUUAAUUGGCACAGCCCAAUACGUCAGGCCGAGGUGUAGCGUAUGGAAAGGGAAGAAAUGGGCUACAUUCCCUAUUUUAGGGCACACGAAUGAUGUGCUGAAACGCAUGUCUUGAAGGAGGAUUUAGCAGUAAGCAGAAAGUAGAGCGUUCUGCUGAAAUUGGCUC